AAGUCUAAUAACAAGAUAAAGGAAAGGAAAAGCUAUAGCGAAGGAAGGCGAUAAGGAGGUGCAGAUGGAUGUGUGAUGUUUGGACUAUAGAAGCCUUGGGACUUAGUUUAGAAAUUUAUUAAGAUUUUAUAUUCAGAAUGUUAGAAUUAUUUUUCCUUUGAUGUUAGAUUUGCUUAUGGAAUAAUUAUGUUUUAGAAUUCUUUUG